UACGUAGGGUGCGAGCGUUAAUCGGAAUUACUGGGCGUAAAGCGUGCGCAGGCGGUUUUGUAAGUCAGAUGUGAAAUCCCCAGGCUUAACCUGGGAACUGCGUUUGAAACUACAAGGCUAGAGUGUGGCAGAGGGGGGUGGAAUUCCACGUGUAGCAGUGAAAUGCGUAGAGAUGUGGAGGAACACCGAUGGCGAAGGCAGCCCCCUGGGUUAACACUGACGCUCAGGCACGAAAGCGUGGGGAGCAAACAGG
rnacentral:rRNA from 1 species